rnacentral:rRNA from 1 species
GUUAGGAAUAUUGGACAAUGGGCGCAAGCCUGAUCCAGCCAUGCCGCGUGAACGAUGAAGGCCUUCGGGUUGUAAAGUUCUUUAGCCGAUGAUUAUAAUGACUGUAGUCGGAAAAUAAGCCCCGGCUAACUUCGUGCCAGCAGCCGCGGUAAUACGAAGGGGGCGAGCGUUAUUCGGAAUCACUGGGCGUAAAGCGUGCGUAGGCGGUCUCGUAAGUUAGGAGUGAAAGCCCAGGGCUCAACCUUGGAAUUGCUCUUAAAACUGCAAGGCUAGAAUCUCGGAGAGGAUAGCGGAAUUUCCAGUGUAGCAGUGAAAUGCGUAGAUAUUGGAAGGAACACCAGUGGCGUAAGCGGCUAUCUGGACGAGUAUUGACGCUGAGGCACGAAAGCGUGGGGAUCAAACAGGAUUAGAUAGCCCAGUAGUCC